GACGAACGCUGGCGGCGUGCUUAACACAUGCAAGUCGAACGGAAAGGCCCUGCUUGCAGGGUGCUCGAGUGGCGAACGGGUGAGUAACACGUGGGUGAUCUGCCCCUUACUUUGGGAUAAGCCUGGGAAACUGGGUCUAAUACUGGAUAGGACCAUGCUGUAGGUGGUGUGGUGGAAAGAUUAGUUUCGGUAAGGGAUGAACUCGCGGCCUAUCAGCUUGUUGGUGGGGUAAUGGCCUACCAAGGCGUCGACGGGUAGCCGGCCUGAGAGGGUGGACGGCCACAUUGGGACUGAGAUACGGCCCAGACUCCUACGGGAGGCAGCAGUGGGGAAUAUUGCACAAUGGGCGCAAGCCUGAUGCAGCGACGCCGCGUGGGGGAUGACGGCCUUCGGGUUGUAAACUCCUUUCAGCCAUGACGAAGCCCUUGUGGUGACGGUAGUGGUAGAAGAAGCACCGGCUAACUACGUG
rnacentral:rRNA from 1 species